rnacentral:lncRNA from 1 species
GAGGCUGUAACAUCCCUGUCUAUCCUCUGUUGUAGAGAGACUGUAACAUCCCUGUCUAUCCUCUAUGUUGUAGAGAGCCUGUAACAUCCCUGUCUAUCCUCUGUUGUAGAGAGGCUGUAACAUCCCUGUCUAUCCUCUGUUGUAGAGAGGCUGUAACAUCCCUGUCUAUCCUCUGUUGUAGAGAGACUGUAACAUCCCUGUCUAUCCUCUGUUGUAGAGAGACUAACAUCCCUGUCUAUCCUCUGUUGUAGAGAGACUAACAUCCCUGUCUAUCCUCUAUGUUGUAGAGAGACUGUAACAUCCCUGUCUAUCCUCUAUGUUGUAGAGAGACUGUAACAUCCCUGUCUAUCCUCUAUGUUGUAGAGAGACUGUAACAUCCCUGUCUAUCCUCUAUGUUGUAGAGAGGCUGAUACAUCCCUGUCUAUCCUCUGUUGUAGAGAGACUGUAACAUCCCUGUCUAUCCUCUGUGUUGUAGAGAGACUGGUAACAUCCC